UACGUAGGGUGCAAGCGUUUGUCCGGAAUUAUUGGGCGUAAAGAGCGUGUAGGCGGCCCGGUUAGUCCGCUGUGAAAGUCCAGGGCUCAACCCUGGAAUGCCGGUGGAUACUGUCGGGCUAGAGUCCGGAAGGGGCGAGUGGAAUUCCUGGUGUAGCGGUGAAAUGCGCAGAUAUCAGGAGGAACACCAAUGGCGAAGGCAGCUCGCUGGGACGUGACUGACGCUGAGACGCGAAAGCGUGGGUAGCAAACAGG
rnacentral:rRNA from 1 species